rnacentral:lncRNA from 1 species
CUCAACGUGCGAACGCAUCCUAUUUCCGGAAUAGAUGCCUUGUUCACUUCUCGUCGGCUUCCUUACGCUUAGAAAGCCCUGCAUGGUAUUGACAAUGUGAAUUGUAGAAACAGAAUCAAUCCACCAUGUAUUAUCAGAAAUUUUAACAAAAUUAGAUUCAUAACACACAUGAGAUAAAAUAUUACCUUUCUUUUCAAGCCAUUUUUUUACUUGGUGCAAUCUUUGUUCAUGUGUUCCUUCUUUUUGCAAAAGAACAAUUACCUUUAGUGUCAUAAUGCUUCAUUUGCACCCUUUUGUAAUUCUCUUUCGAAACACUUUACCCUUUUUUCCUUUUUUCUUUUCAUUUUCACAAACCACUAGAUUGGCACUUUCUAGGGUUUCAUACUUGAGUC